rnacentral:rRNA from 1 species
AGCGAACGCUGGCGGCAGGCCUAACACAUGCAAGUCGAACGCGUGUAGCAAUACACGAGUGGCAGACGGGUGAGUAACACGUGGGAACGUGCCCUUCGGUUCGGAAUAACUCAGGGAAACUUGAGCUAAUACCGGAUACGCCCUUACGGGGAAAGAUUUAUCGCCGAUGGAUCGGCCCGCGUCUGAUUAGCUAGUUGGUGAGGUAACGGCUCACCAAGGCGACGAUCAGUAGCNGGUCUGAGAGGAUGAUCAGCCACACUGGGACUGAGACACGGCCCAGACUCCUACGGGAGGCAGCAGUGGGGAAUAUUGGACAAUGGGGGAAACCCUGAUCCAGCCAUGCCGCGUGAGUGAUGAAGGCCCUAGGGUUGUAAAGCUCUUUCGGGCGGGGACGAUAAU